rnacentral:rRNA from 1 species
AUGAACGCUGGCGGCGUGCUUAACACAUGCAAGUCGAACGAUGAAGCCCAGCUUGCUGGGUGGAUUAGUGGCGAACGGGUGAGUAACACGUGAGUAACCUGCCCUUAACUCUGGGAUAGGCCUGGGAAACUGGGUCUAAUACCGGAUAGGAGCGUCCACCGCAUGGUGGGUGUUGGAAAGAUUUAUCGGUUUUGGAUGGACUCGCGGCCUAUCAGCUUGUUGGUGAGGUAAUGGCUCACCAAGGCGACGACGGGUAGCCGGCCUGAGAGGGUGACCGGCCACACUGGGACUGAGACACGGCCCAGACUCCUACGGGAGGCAGCAGUGGGGAAUAUUGCACAAUGGGCGAAAGCCUGAUGCAGCGACGCCGCGUGAGGGAUGACGGCCUUCGGGUUGUAAACCUCUUUCAGUAGGGAAGAAGCGAAAGUGACGGUACCUGCAGAAGAAGCACCGGCUAACUACGUG